AUGAAACACAUUUACUCAUCAUCAUACAUGCAUGCAAGAGUGCGUCCAUAUAAGCCCAUAUGUUGCACCGGUGGCUUCCCAUCUUCUUCCAAGCCAGCCAUGGAUUCCCUCCUCUGGUCCGUGGAGCUCCUCUCCCUCCUUUGCUUCUUCGUCUUCUACUACCGCCACCUCCAGUCCAAGAAAAUAAGCAAGGCGGAGCCGACCGAAUGGCCAAUCCUGGGCCAUCUUUUCGGCAUGGUCGCCAACCUGUCCCACUUCCAUGACUGGGCCACCGGCAUCCUGGCCGGCACGCGCUACAACUUCGAAGCUCGCGCCGGGAUCACCGGCGUCCGCUUCUUCGUCACCUGCGACCCCGCCAACGUGCGCCACAUCUUCACCUCCAACUUCGCCAACUACCCCAAGGGCGACGAGUUCGCCGAGAUCUUCGACGUCUUCGGCGACGGCAUCUUCAACGCCGACGGCGACUCCUGGCGCCGCCAGCGUGCCAAGUCACAGCUCAUCAUGGCGGGCCCUCGCUUCCGCGCCUUCUCGGCGCGCUACAGCCGCGACAAGGUGGAGAGGAGCCUCCUGCCUUUCCUCGCCCACGCCGCCGAGGCCGGGUCCACACCCUGCGACCUGCACGACGUGUUCCUGCGCCUGACGUUCGACAUGACCUGCAACCUCGUCUUCGGCGUCGACCCCGGGUGCCUGCAGAUUGACCUCCCCGUGGUGCCCUUCGCGCGCGCCAUGGACGACGUGCUCGAGACGCUCUUCCUCCGCCACAUCAUCUCGCCCGCGUGCUGGAAGCUCAUGUACCGGUAUGAGGUCGGCACCGAGAGGAAGAUGGCCGCGGCUCGUAGGACCAUCGACCGGUUCGCCGCGGACACCAUCGCGAAACGCAGGGCCGACCACAAGCUCGGCGACGAGGGCGUCACCGACUCGUCCGACAUGCUCUCGUCCUUCAUCUGCAACGGUGACGCGAGCGAGUACAGCGACGACUUCUUGCGUGACACCACGGUGAACCUCCUCCUCGCCGGCCGGGACACCACCGGCGCGGCGCUGUCCUGGUUCUUCUACCUGCUCUCCAAGAACCCACGCGUCGAGCAGAAGAUCCUGGACGAACUGGCGCCGAUCGCUUCCCGGAAGAAGCAGCUGGCGGGCGACGACGGCAUGGCGGUGUUCGACGUGAGCGAGCUGAGCGGCAUGGUGUACCUGCACGCGGCGCUGUGCGAGUGCCUGAGGCUGUACCCGUCCGUGCCCUUCGAGCACAAGGCGGCGGUGGCCGACGACGUGCUCCCCAGCGGGCACGAGAUGAAGGCCGGCGACAAGAUACUCAUCUUCUCCUACUGCAUGGCGAGGAUGGAGGGCGUGUGGGGCAAGGACUGCAUGGAGUUCAGGCCGGAGAGGUGGGUCACCGCCGACGGGAAGCUGAGGUACGAGCCGUCCUACAAGUUCAUCUCCUUCAACGCCGGACCCAGGACCUGCCUCGGCAAGGAGAUGGCGUUCGUGCAGAUGAAGACCGCCGCGGCGGCCGUGCUCUGGAACUUCGCAGUCAAGACCGUGCCUGGCCACGUCGUCGAGCCGAAGCUGUCCAUCAUUCUCCACAUGAAGAACGGGCUCGCCGUCACGGUCAAGAGGAGGAACGUCGCGGGCGUGCAUGGCUAG
rnacentral:rRNA from 1 species